rnacentral:rRNA from 1 species
UACGUAGGAGGCGAGCGUUGUCCGGAUUUACUGGGCGUAAAGGGCGCGUAGGCGGCCUGCUAAGUCGAACGUGAAAUCCCCGGGCUCAACCCGGGAACUGCGUCCGAUACUGGUGGGCUUGAAUCCGGGAGAGGGAUGUGGAAUUCCAGGUGUAGCGGUGAAAUGCGUAGAUAUCUGGAGGAACACCGGUGGCGAAGGCGGCAUCCUGGACCGGUAUUGACGCUGAGGCGCGAAAGCUAGGGGAGCAAACGGG